CAACUACUCCCUCCGUCCGGAAUUACUUGUCUCAGAAAUGGAUGUAUCUAGAACUAAAAUACAUCUAGAUACAUCCAUUUCUACGACAAGUAAUUCCGAACGGAGGGAGUACUAC
rnacentral:pre_miRNA from 1 species